rnacentral:rRNA from 1 species
UACGGAGGGUGCAAGCGUUGUCCGGAAUCACUGGGCGUAAAGGGCGCGUAGGCGGCUCGGUAAGUAGGGGGUGAAAUCCUGCGGCUCAACCGCAGGGCUGCCUUCUAAACUGUCGAGCUCGAGCACGGUAGAGGCAGAUGGAAUUCCCGGUGUAGCGGUGGAAUGCGUAGAGAUCGGGAAGAACAUCAGUGGCGAAGGCGGUCUGCUGGGCCGUUGCUGACGCUGAGACGCGAAAGCGUGGGGAGCAAACAGG